rnacentral:lncRNA from 1 species
AGCGUAGUUACCUGUAUACAAAUUUGUCUCCAUAUUUGCAAGGCCGUCAAGUUUGACUCUGGUUUACAAUUUUCUUCCACAUUACUUGGUCGAUAUAUUCAUGAUUGUAUCACUUGCUUUUCCAACUUUCUUGAAAAGAUUCAAGAAGAGAAUGAGUUUGUAGGAGGUAAGGAAGGGUCCUCCAUCUCAUCUGCAUGUCUGUCUAUCUGUCUGUCUUUGAAUUCACAAGUUCUGAGCCAAAAAAAGAGAGGGAAUUGUAUUUGGAUGCGGUGAGGAUCCCCUUCCAUACUAAUUAACCCGUGCAGAAAUUGUAAUAAUUCAUUUUUCCCCCGGCCAAAUCAACAUAUUAUAAGCACAAAGGACAAAAACAUAAGGAAAAAAUCAUCAAGAACUGUUUUGAUAAGGCAUGUCCUUCUACCUUCUGGCCAGGUGAAUGAACACUUUGUUGAUGUUGAUUCUUCUGAAGUAUCAAAAGCACAAUGAUGAAUGAGCUGCCUGAGGGUGUCUCAAGUUGAGAUGCUAGCUAGUAAGGUUGCCCGUCAAAUCCCAGCCUAGUCGUCUUGGAUGAUUCCCUUGCCUUUUUACAUCAUUCAGAACCCCUUUUGCCACAACACUUGAAUGUCAGGAAGAUGAUAGAACAUGGCAUCAAAGAGUCCUGGAAACAAGAAACUUCCCAUAGGACGAAUUGAUGGGCCCUUGUCUCGUUAGCCGUUUAUCCUCUUGGAAUAAUGACGGGCUUCCAGUACAAAGCUCCCUCAAGGAAAUUGGCCAAGGAAAAUAGGAAAUAUGACGGCAUUUGCGGGUGGCAAGAUUUGCUCAAGCCCCCGGUCUAUCAGGAGAUUUUGGUUUCUGUCGGCGAAAGACGUGAAGGUUUUUUUUGGUGGACGAUGUGAUCAGUAGAACUGGGGGGCAAAGGCAUGUUCUUGCCC